CCUACGGGAGGCAGCAGUGGGGAAUAUUGGGCAAUGGGCGCAAGCCUGACCCAGCAACGCCGCGUGCAGGAAGAAGGCUUUCGGGUUGUAAACUUCUUUUCUCAGGGACGAAGAAAGUGUCGGUACCUGCUGAUUAAGCCACGGCUAACUACGUGCCAGCAGCCGCGGUAAUACGUAGGUGGCAAGCGUUAUCCGGAUUUACUGGGUGUAAGGGGCGUGUAGGCGGGACCGCAAGUCAGAUGUGAAAACCACGGGCUCAACCGGGGCCCUGCAUUUGAAACUGUAGUUCUUGAGUACUGGGGAGGCAGACGGAAUUCCUAGUGUAGCGGUGAAAUGCGUAGAUAUUAGGAGGAACACCAGUGGCGAAGGCAGUCUGCCGUACAGCAACUGACGCUGAGGCGCGAAGGCGUGGGGAGCAAACAGGAUUAGAUACCCUAGUAGUC
rnacentral:rRNA from 1 species